rnacentral:lncRNA from 1 species
AGUGUUUUACCUGAAAAAAAAAGUUUAAUAAUGUUAGAUAGAUAACAUUUGAACAAAAUAUCUUAUAUAUAUUAUAUAAUUAAUUUAAAUUUUUAAAAAAUUAUUAACUUACAAUGUGAAUCUUUGAAUAUUUUUUUUUUAUACUUUAAUCAUUUAUGACCAGAAUUCUAUUCAUAAAAGCGACUUGAGAGAAAAUAAUCAUUUUUUCAAAAUUAUAUAAUUGAAUAUGAUCAUUGUGAUAUAUCUUUAAAAGUUUUUUCUUUUCUAUUGUUUUGAAUAAAGAAACAGUAAGAUAAUUAAAAAUGCAUUUUACUUACUUUAAUGCCAUGUGUGAGACAUUAUAAUUUAACUUACUAUCAAAAAAUUUGUUUACUAUGCUUAUCUGUUGUAUUAGGGUGCAUGCUAAUUAUGAAAAACAAAACAACGUGCAACUCAGAAAAUUUCUUGUGUAUUCUAAGAGAGUGUGUAUACAUUUUGGGGACUAUUGCUGCAAAGUAUUACAAUAAUAAUGAAAUUCAUUAUUUAAAAGUUUAGUAACACACAUACCUUUUUCUUAUGGAAAAUGCAAUUUGGGAGAAUUGAAUAUCAUAACAAUAUGAAUAAUUAUAAAGGUAUGGGUAUUUAUUUUAACAUUUGUAUUAAUAAUGUGUAUAAUAAUGAUAUUUAUAUAUUUUGUAAUAAAUUUUGAAUUUCAUUUCUAUGUGAUUUAUAAAUUUUGAAAAAUCG